UACAUAGGUCUCAAGCGUUGUUCGGAUUCAUUGGGCGUAAAGGGUGCGUAGGUGGCGUCGUAAGUCGGGUGUGAAAUCUCGGGGCUUAACUCCGAAACUGCAUUCGAUACUGCGGUGCUUGAGGACUGGAGAGGAGACUGGAAUUUACGGUGUAGCAGUGAAAUGCGUAGAGAUCGUAAGGAAGACCAGUGGCGAAGGCGGGUCUCUGGACAGUUCCUGACACUGAGGCACGAAGGCCAGGGGAGCAAACGGG
rnacentral:rRNA from 1 species